GAUGAACGCUGGCGGCGUGCCUAAUACAUGCAAGUCGAGCGAACGGACGAGAAGCUUGCUUUUCUGAUUUUAUCGCCGGACGGGUGAGGACCACGUGGACAACCUACCUAUGAGACUGGUAUGACAUCGGGAAACCAUAGCUACUACCGGAUAAUUUUUUGCACCUCGUGGUUCCAGAGUGCAAGAAGGUCUUGCUGUCACUUAUAGAUGGCCCCGGGCUGCAUUAGCUAGUUGGUGAGGUGACGGCUUACCCAGGCAACGAGGCAUAGCCGACCUGAACGCGUGGUCGGACACACUGGAACAGAGAAAGGGUCGAGACUCUGAGAGGAGGCAGCAGCAGGGAAUCCUCCGGAAUGGACGAGAGCGUGACGGAGGAACGCCGCGGGAAUGAUGAAGGUCCUCUGACCGGAAAACUCUGUUAUUAGGGAGGAUGAUAAGUGUUAUUAACUGUGCUCAUCUUGACGGUACCUGAUCAGAAAGCCACGGCUAACUACGUG
rnacentral:rRNA from 1 species